GGCGUCCGUCGUCCGUCGUCGUCGUCGUCCGUCGUCGUUAACUUUUACAAAAAUCUUCUCCUCUGAAACUACUGGGCCAAAUUAAACCAAACUUGGCCACAAUCAUCAUUGGGGUAUUUAGUUUAAAAAAUGUGUGGCGUGACCCGGCCAACCAACCAAGAUGGCCGCCAUGGCUAAAAAUAGAACAUAGGGGUAAAAUGCAGUUUUUGGCUUAUAACUC
rnacentral:lncRNA from 1 species